UGACGGUACCUGCAGAAGAAGCGCCGGCUAACUACGUGCCAGCAGCCGCGGUAAUACGUAGGGCGCGAGCGUUGUCCGGAAUUAUUGGGCGUAAAGAGCUUGUAGGCGGUUUGUUGCGUCUGCUGUGAAAGACCGGGGCUUAACCCCGGUAUUGCAGUGGGUACGGGCAGACUAGAGUGCAGUAGGGGAGACUGGAAUUCCUGGUGUAGCGGUGAAAUGCGCAGAUAUCAGGAGGAACACCGAUGGCGAAGGCAGGUCUCUGGGCUGUAACUGACGCUGAGAAGCGAAAGCAUGGGGAGCGAACAGGAUUAGAUACCCUGGUAGUCCAUGCCGUAAACGUUGGGCACUAGGUGUGGGGGACAUUCCACGUUUUCCGCGCCGUAGCUAACGCAUUAAGUGCCCCGCCUGGGGAGUACGGCCGCAAGGCUAAA
rnacentral:rRNA from 1 species